AACGAACGCUGCCGGCAGGCUUAACCCAUGCAAGUCGAGCGCCCCGCACGGGGAGCGGCAGACGGGUGAGUAACGCGUCGGAAUCUACCCAUCUCUACGGAAUAACUCAUGGAAACGUGUGCUUAUACCAUCUCCGUCCUUCGGGGGCAAGAUUUAUCGGUGAUGGAUGAGCCCGCGUUGGAUUAGCUAGUUGGUGGGGUAAAGGCCUACCAAGGCGACGAUCCAUAGCUGGUCUGAGAGGAUGAUCAGCCACACUGGGACUGAGACACGGCCCAGACUCCUACGGGAGGCAGCAGUGGGGAAUAUUGGACAAUGGGCGCAAGCCUGAUCCAGCCAUGCCGCGUGAGUGAUGAAGGCCCUAGGGUUGUAAAGCUCUUUCACCGGUGAAGAUAAUGACGGUAACCGGAGAAGAAGCCCCGGCUAACUUCGUGCCAGCCGCCGCAGUAACAC
rnacentral:rRNA from 1 species